AUCGCUUCUUGGCCUUUUGGCUAAGAUCAAGUGUAGUAUCUGUUCUGUGCCUAACCUUUAGGUGCUUUGCGGCAGAAUUAAAACCUCCU